CUCCCUCGCACGAAAAAAACCCUCCUCUCGAUCCACCCCUCGUGCGACCGCUCUCUUCCCCUCUCCUCCCGAUGCGGCGCUGCCCCCAUCUCUUGCUCCGCCGCCGCCCGUCACCUCCUCGGCCUCCCCGCCGCCCCCUCCGCACGACGCCUCACCGGACAUCGAUCUCGCCCCUAAGGACUCAACUCCGCCGGCCUCGUCAUCCUCUCCAUCACUGCGGUCGUCCACGUCGAAGGCACGGACGUCGGCGGCGGUAAGGCGAGGGCUCGCGGCGAGGGAAGCACCGUGGAUCCACUCGAUCCCGCGCCUCCACCGACCGCAGCCUCCUCUGUUCAAUCCACCCCUCCACCAUCCAACGCCUCUCUCUCCCUGGCCUCCCGAUCCCAGCCGCCAGGAGGCACCCCACCCCGCGCGACGCUCGAUCCGGUGUCGCGCCGAUCUGGCGGCGGGUGCAGCGUCUUGCUCCGAUGGCGACGACAUCCUGCUGAUCCAGCGAAAGGGAGAGACAGGGCGUAAGGGAGAGAGGAAAGAGAGGAAGAAAUGAGAAGGAGAAGGGGCACAAGGCGAGGAAGGCGGUCGCGGGCGGUGGCGGCUCUGGUGACCGGCCGGCGGGUAGGGAGACGAGCUCCUGUUGAGGCGGCGGGGCUCGGUGCGGGCUGGUUCCGCCGGAUCGAGCCUUGGCUCUCCCAAGGCGGCGGUUGCGGGCUUGGAUCGGGUGGUCCUUCUCCCCCGCCCUCCCCCUCCAUGGCCAAUGGCACAAGACGGGCGUUUCGCAGAGUGUUCAGAAUAAUACUUUGCAAGGGACAGCAGCAUGGUGUCAAGCAGCAGCAGCAGCAGGUUCUGCAGCUUCGACGACCCUGGUGAGUCCACGGUCGUGCUCAACUCCCGCUAGGAGGGCGCGAAGGAGUUUCCCCUUGAACCCCAUGACCUGAUUCUCAGAUCGGAUUGAAGGUGUAUCUGCAUUUUACUUGUGCAACAUGAAGAUUUCAGAAGUUGAAGCGAAUGGAAAGAUAGAAGAGGGUUUGAAAAAUAGGGAGAACAUCCAACAACGGUUUGUAUCUGGGUGCUUCUGGCUGUUUCUGGAGUUCAGGUUCAAGUCAACCAUGGGGUGACUGAUCCUUUAUUUCCGCGAGGUUAUUUGUGUCAGAUGUUACUGUUGCUUUAAUCUUUGAGAUACUGUGCAAGUUGUUGAAUUUCUUGAUUUUGUUUUCUGCUCCUGAGUUUGAAUUUCCCAGAAAUGCGCCCCCGUGGUUGUUGCCAAACCGUGCUGUUGCUCGAUCCAUUGACGAGUAUACAGUUGAGGAGAAUUUAUAAGCGAGUGGAUCAUAUGUACUCUUUUUAUGAUGCAUCUCUGACCAUGCAGUUUCUGGGCCUCACAGAGAAGGUCAAGAAGGAUGAGCUUGUCAAGUCUGCAAUCGAGGAUUUUUCUGUCAGACUCUGUUGGUGGACGCGAGAGACAUCUGGAUAGAAAGUUCGACUCUUCCUUACUAGAGCCAUAUGACCAAAAAGAUGAGGCUCUUUCCAAGCAUACAAGCAUAAGAUAUAUUAAUAUUGGGAGAGUGUCUCAUAUACUGCUCGAGGUCGGGAGGGUGCAGAGGCUGCUAGAGGAAGCGUUGGAGGCCGAGCUCAGCAGCAAUGAUGAGCUGCUACUGGUGUUGGACCGGGUACGUCUACGAAGGAACGGGAGUGGGGUGGCUGGUUGUAUCCGCCAGAUUUUUGUGGAUGUGCUUAGCCAAGUUUUGAGAGCAUAUUCAGUAUACCUUGGUUGCCCAUAUGAUUGGUCAUCUCUCAAACAAUGGCACGGCCGCCACCUGAAAAGUGGCUAUCCCUAGCUAGCCGAGGGAUAACCUCAUAACCAAAAAUGCCCCCUUGUUGUGUAUGGUGAAAUUUUGUCCCAUACUAUACACUAUAGAGCUAGAGAAAAGCAACCUAAUAAGCUGGGAUUGUCGAGAAAAUGUGGUUGUCAAAUAGCUGAACUGAAUUGCUCGAAAAAGAGGCAACUACUCUUGUAGCUUUCCAAAAUCUGGAAAACUAAAACAAUUAAACAAGUACUGCUAAUCCAUUGUUUUUCUAAUUCAAGCAGUAAGAGUAGGCCUUUAGGUACUCACCUGGACGUUUGACGUCAUCUGCACUACAUUGCACUGUCCUUUUUGCAUGAUUUACAUUUUGUUCCUACUUAAUAAAAUCAGCAACUCAGUUGAUCUUGUUUCAUGCGCUUGUAGUGAGUUAUUCCUUCGAAUAUAAUCACUUGUUUCAGUACUAAGCUAUCACAGAACAGAUAGUUGGUGAUGGCUUCCAAAAUAUUUUAGAGCACAUAUGGACAGAAUACCUGAUAUCUCUCUACUUUUAGAAAAACAGUUGCAUUACCGAAAAAGGCUUUCGCCCCGCUUUAUAUUAUAUAAAGCAACCGCCCACAUCAAGCAUCCCCCAAGGUUCCACACAUGUCCAAACACACACACACACGCACGGAGGUUCCAAGCAGUUGCAUUACGGAAACUUUUAAUAUCUCUCUACAUUUGAGUUGUUCUUCCCUUUCUACAAAUGAUGCAUGAUCCUUGGGUUUAGAUUGAGAUGCUAGAUGGGAAACUGGUGUUAUUAUCAUCUGCUCAGGUUUUUUUGGGGGUAUCAUAUGGUGUUAUUUUAACAUGUAGAUUGAUGUUGUUUGUGGUUA